GGGCAACCCUGACGGAGCAACGCCGCGUGGGGGAGGAAUGUACUGUGGAUUGUAAACCCCUUUUCUCAGGGAAGAAGAUCUGACGGUACCUGAGGAAUCAGCAUCGGCUAACUCCGUGCCAGCAGCCGCGGUAAUACGGAGGAUGCAAGCGUUAUCCGGAAUUAUUGGGCGUAAAGCGUCCGUAGGCGGUUUAUCAAGUCUGCUGUUAAAGACUGCAGCUUAACUGUGGAUCGAGCGGUGGAAACUGAUUGACUAGAGUACGGUAGGGGUAGAGGGAAUUCCCAGUGUAGCGGUGAAAUGCGUAGAUAUUGGGAAGAACACCAGUGGCGAACGCGCUCUACUGGGCCAAAACUGACACUGAGGGACGAAAGCUAGGGGAGCGAAAGGGAUUAAGAUACCCCCUGUAGU
rnacentral:rRNA from 1 species